GUGGGGUUGAGAGGGAGGAGUGGCAGAGAGGAGACCUUCAGGGGGGCUUCCCAGCAGCCCACCCUGCGGCCAGCCUCAGGUGCUUAUCUCAGGAGUUGGCAUGUCAGCCUCAAGGCAGAAAACAGCUGGCCACAGUUUAUCUUCUCCUCCUGCACUAAUGUAAAACUCAUCUGCCCAGUGACCGCGGUCUCUUUUGAUCCUCCAUUCGGAACACCAAGUUCAUCCUCAAAACCGCUCGCUUGACUAACAAGGAACACUUUCCAUUUUUGUAAACCUCCCAAAACAGAGAUCUGAAUGAACUGAGAUCUGGGUUCAAGUUCUAGCUCAGAAGUUCACUCAGCCAGUCACAGAACUUCUCUUCACCUACUUUUGCUCAUCAAAAAUGAGUUGAUCAGACUGCCCAAUGGUGAGAUAAUGGCUGCAAAGCUAAGUCACCAGGAGGACUGACGGCUCACUCUUUUUUCUUAUUUUUUUUUGAGACAGGUCUCCCUAUGUAGUCUAGGCUGCCCUGAAACUCACUAUGUAGCCUAGGCUGGCCUCAAGUUUGUGGCAGUCCUCCUGCCUCAGCCUCCCCAGCGCUGGGAUUACAGGCGUGCGCCACCAUACCUGGCAUCUGAUGGGUCACUCUUCUCAUUGACCGCUAGGCUCAACUACUGCCCAGUCUCCCAAGAACAAGUGCUGUUUGGCAACUUUGUUGUUGUUGUAGCAGAUAAGGAAAGUUAUUAUUUUAUCAGCUGGCAGCAGUUUCUUUUGCAGAAGGAAGUGUCUUUGUUUAGGGAAAUACCUUAAGAGGCGCCCCCGCCCCCAGGAUAGAAGGUGAGGCACUCAGGACCUGGGUUGGGAGGCAAACACAAAGAUGGCUUAAUAGCUCUGUCUGAGGAAGGAGCUGGAGUUGGGGGAUGAAGAACAAAGAGAAGGAAAAGGAACAAUUAGCAGUGUGGCCAGAAGCUAAAGCCUCCCUGGUGCUUUGUUGGAGAUGAGAAGAACCUGGAAUCUCCAGAAGGAAAGACGAGCAACCCAGAACCCGGUAACGUUCAGUUGGCAAGCCACUUUUAGAAGCAGGCUACCUGGUAACAUGGGAGCCCAUCCAACUUCAGGCGUGGAGAAUGGCCCACUUCCACAUGGGUCCUUCCAGUGGUCUACAGGUGACGUCGCCACACGGGAGGAACUGGUGGAUGCCUGCCAGGUGAUCCACAGAAGAUCCCCACAUCAGCUCCCUCAGUCGCAGUGAUGGUAGAUGGAUGUCCCAUCAUUUGGCUCUCUCCCCCACCUGGCCUCAGCUGGCAUUUUGGUGGCCC
rnacentral:lncRNA from 1 species